rnacentral:rRNA from 2 species
CUUUCGACCGGGACGAUAAUGACGGUACCGGUAGAAGAAGCUCCGGCUAACUUCGUGCCAGCAGCCGCGGUAAUACGAAGGGGGCAAGCGUUGUUCGGAAUUACUGGGCGUAAAGGGUGCGUAGGCGGUUUUGUAAGUCUGGUGUGAAAUCUCCGGGCUCAACUCGGAGGCUGCCCCUGAAACUGUCGGGCUUGAGUGUGGGAGAGGUGAGUGGAAUUCCCGGUGUAGCGGUGAAAUGCGUAGAUAUCAGGAGGAACACCUGUGGCGAAGGCGGCUCACUGGACCAUUACUGACGCUGAGGCACGAAAGCUUGGGGAGCAAACAGGAUUAGAUACCCUGGUAGUCCACGCCCUAAACGAUGAUUGCUUGGUGUG